UGCAUUUCAGUAAUGCAACAAAUGUUUUUAAGCACUGACUUAUGUACAAGUCUCUCUACUGAGUGUUGACUAUAAAAAGAGAAAAAAGUAACACAGACCUUGUGCUUAGGGAGUUUACAAUCUGAUGCAAAAGACGUGGCAUCUACAUAGCUAAGCUGUGUACAUGCAAGUGGCAAGCAGUGGAAUCAGGUCUUCUGACCUCCAGCCCCAGUAUUGUCCCCUCCGUGCUGUCCCUGUCUGAUUACACUGAGUUUGCUUACAUACUAUGCACUGCUCCUUUUUCUCCCCCAAACCUUCCUCUCUUCCUUUGCCUUUGCACAGAGGUAAGGGGAAAGAGGAGGUUAGUUAAAGGAAGAGAAAUAAGAUUAAGCUCUGAGUCUAGAAGCCUGCACCCAACAUCCCCGGGCUGGGUGGGAGCACAAGGCUUGUACAAUCCAUCACAAAUCAACUUUCUCUCUCUCUCUCUCUCUCUCUCUCUCUCUCUCUCUCUCUCUCUCUCUCUCUCUCUCUCUGUCUCUCUCACUGUCUCUCUCUCUCUCUCACUGUCUCUCUCUCUCUCUCUCUCUCUCACUGUCUCUCUCUCUCUCUCUCUCUCUCUCUCUCUCUCUCUCACUGUCUCUCUCUCACUGUCUCUCUCUCUCACUGUCUCUCUCUCUCUCUCUCUCUCUCACUGUCUCUCUCUCUCUCUCUCUCUCUCUCUCUCUCUCUCUCUCUCACUGUCUCUCUCUCACUGUCUCUCUCUCUCUCUCUCUCUCUCUCUCUCACUGUCUCUCUCUUUCUCUCUCUGUCUUACUCUCUCUUGUUCUCUCUCUGUUUCUCAUAAGUUACACCCUGGGACUAAAGAGAAAACAAGAGAAGUAGCAAGAGGUCAGUGUAAUGGGAUAGAAGAAGCGCUAGCUUUGGAAUCAGAGGAACUGGGUGGGAGGCCUGGUUCUGCUAUUUAUGUAUAUGGGAACUUAAGCAAGUUCCUUCUCUUUUCUAAACCUAGGUUUCCUCAUAAAAAAUAGAGAGUGGAAGGAAGAGAGAGAGAGAAAGAAUAGGGCCGAAUGACCUCUGAGGUCCAUUCCAGUUUUAAAGCAGUGGGUAGACUGAUG
rnacentral:lncRNA from 1 species